GGAUUUGGAGAGCAGAAGGGAAGCAGCAGCCACUUUGUAGCUCACCUGUUGACUCACUUGGUGUGAGCCAGCAGCUGAGUGAAAUGGUUCUAUCUUCCCCUAGAUCCUCUUUAGCUUCUCCAACUCCUGGGCCAGCUGGGUAUAUGCUUUGCUUUGCAGCAAAGGGUUUCAGCUUCCGCAGGAUUCCUGCAUCACCAAGUGGGACGCUGCGAGACCUUACACAAGUUUCAGUUCAUCCUCGUGAGCUCCAGCUUAUACUUAAGGGUUCCUGCUUGCUCUUACUCUACCCACUUUGUAUUAGUUUUCCCUUCUAUAUUCUUGUGCUGUGGACUUCAAGCUCCGGUAUCAGGUCUGAAGACAGCAACCUUAAAAAUGUUGGUUAAUGAGCUCCCACAACCGAUUUUGCUGGGCUUCAUCUGAAGAACCAGAUACAGUGUACCGGCCUGACGCCCAGAUUAUCUUCUCCUCCAGGGGGAGAGGGAGAAUCAAGAGUCUGUAUUUUAUAAGUCCCCAAGAUGUAAUGAGAAGAUGGCCAUCUGCAAACCAGGAAUAGGGCCCUCACUGGACACUGGAUCUGCUGGUGAUUUGAUGUUGGACUUCCCAGUCUCCAGAACUAUAAGCAAUAAAUUUCUGUUGUUUAAACUACCCAAUCUAUAGUAUGUUUGUUAUAGCGAACCAAACUGACUAAGACAAACAAGUUGAAGAUUUCCGGUUACCUAGAACACAGCUCAUGAGACAUUCUUCCACUAAUCUAUGUGUUUUUAUAAUUAGUUAUGUUAACUAAUAUAAUUUUUUUUCAUUUUUCUGGGUUUUUUUGAGGAAGAUUAGCCCUGAGUGAACAUCUGCCACCAAUCCUCCUCUUUUUUGCUGAGGAAGACUGGCCCUGAGCUAACAUCCAUGCCCAUCUUCCUCUACUUUAUAUGUGGGAUGGCUGGCACAGCAUUGCUUAACAAGCAGUGCAUAGGAGGCUGGCUCCAAUAUAAUUCUCUUGUUUUCCUACUUAUUCUAUUGUAUUUGUUAAAGGGUUUUCUAGAAAAUAAAAUCUAUAAGGAAGAAAAUAAAAAUAAUUUAUAAUCAAACGUUGUUAACAUUUUUUGGAGUGUUUUCCAGUAGUAUUUUAUAUUUAUACAUUUUAAUAUGCCUGAAAUAUAUAUAGUGUGUAUAUAUGUUUUCUUGUUAGACUUUUAAAUGCAGUGUUAUAUAUGUUUUAAUGCCUGCAAUUAACUUUAGAAUUCUUCAGUAUCAACAACAUAUUAUACUGUCUUAGCUAUGCUCUGGAGGCUGUUCCUAAGUCAGUAAUUCUCACUCCAGGAGUAGUCAACGAGCAUUUAUCAGAAAUAACACACUACAGAGGCUGCUACAAUGAGUAAUCUAGCCAUCUCUCCCUCCCGUCUGCACCAGCUGCCUCGUAUAAUGUAUGUUAGAACUGAAUUUUUGUUGGUGAAAUUAGUUAAUUAGCAAAAUA
rnacentral:lncRNA from 1 species